AACCACCCAGGGGCCACCCAGGGGCCUCAAUAAAGAGUUUUUUAUGGGUAGGAAUUACAGAUGCUGAACAUACACAAGAAAAGACAUUCAACUUUAUUAGUAAUCACAGAAAUGAAAAUUAAGACCACAAUAAGAUACAAUUUUAUAACCACUAAGUGUACACAAAUACAGGUCUGACGUUGAUCAAUAUUUGUAAGGAUUUGAACCAAUGGAUAUUCAUAUACUGCUGGUAAAAAUGUAAACUGAUUUAUCACUUUGGAAACAGGUUUGACACCUUCAUAUUAAGUUAAAUAUUCUAUACCCCCAAACCAAACAAUUCCUCUUUUAGAUAUCCGUCCUUGAAAACUGCUUGUACAUGUACAACAAGAGACAUGAGUAAGAAUAUUUGAGACAAUAUUAUUCACAUAUGCAAAAAAAAUGGGGAAAAACCCCCUCAAAUUUCCAGGGAUAAGAAAGUGCUAACUGAAUUACUAAAGUUACACCAUGGAUAUUAUUUGGACUAAAAGGGAAUGAACUGUAGCUACUUGGAAGUAUAUGAAUUACAUUAUAUGAAUUACAUUGUAGAAAUGUAAUGUGAAAUAAACAAGUCACAGGUGCUUACCUACAGCUCAAAAUGCUCAGACUCAAGAAAUACCAAACAAUACGUUGCUAUGGAAACCUCAACUUAAAAAAAACAACAACAACUAUAAAUUAAAUAAUGAUUUCAGGAAAGUAGUAGCCUCUGAGCAGGAGGCACAGAGAAUGUCUCUGCUACAUUUGGUGUGCUACAAGGAUUAAUCAAGUCCUAGUUCUUGAGAUCAAUGGUGGAUUCCUAGCACAGCUGAGCACUCCGGCCAUUCCCAGUCUGCAAAGAGGGCAAAGAGCAAGAUGAUCCCUGAGACGAGCUUCCGCCCGCUGCUUCUCCCGGACCAGAUGCAAGAGGAAAUAGAAAGUUGGGAAUAUGAGAGAGGGAAGAAGAACGGAGGGCAAACCCAGAACCAAAUCUUGCCAUCAGGUCAGCCCCGCAACAGUUAAUGCCCUGAUCUGUUGCCAUGGAAACAAGACCUCUGUCAGACUACGCGGCUGGUUCCAGGGGCAUGGAGUAUACCUCACCCUUCACUUUAUUCAGCUCCAACCAAUUACAUUUCAUUCAGAAAAAUCUUCAUUUGGGGAGGUUCUGUGCAAAGCAUUUCUACAUCAAAUCACAGUACAGGACAACCCCUAAUGAAUGAUGAACAGAACAGUUUCCUGACCAACCGGCAGCCCGGCCCAUUCAUUCUGAUUGCAAGACGGGAUAAGAAAUUACUCUGCGACCUUUGAGUAAAUAGUGGGGGAGAUUCUGUAGAGCAGUUUCCAUCAAGCAAUUUGUAAUCAAGCAAACAUCAUUAAAGACUUUCUCCUGGCCAUGUUUCCUGAACUCUGCUGAUCUUCAAGGCAUCAGAAUAAACAGGUCCAAUUAAAGAAAACAGGGACGUACUCCCCAGAUCACGGAUGCUGAGAGACAUGUGGUCCCAAAGCCCUUGGGAGAAUGCUUGACAGAUCCUUUGACUCCUAUGAAGACAGAUACAUCUAUUACGUAAUGGAAUGUUGGGUGGUAAAUCUUACCAAGGCAUAGGGUUAGUGUCUUGUAUAAGCAUAUCUAAUUCCUGGGUAGGACCGUCACUUGAAUAUUUCUUUCCUAUGCCACCCUGUGACAUGGUUCUGAUUCAGUUCUACCAUCUACAUCUGACCUUCUAAGAGCCUAGGGUCAGAAGGAUCUGAGCAAUUGAGUUCUGCCUGCUAGUGGUUUUUCUUAUAGAUGGUAACAGGCUGCAGCAUGAAUGCUUCCAGUGGUAAAUCCCAACCCCCCUUGAGGCAGCUCAUCUCCGUACACAUUUAUGGAGCACCUACUAUGUUAUAUAGAUUGGGUUUUGUGCUAGAAAUACGAAAUCAAACAAAAUUAAUUCCAUGUUUUAUAGAAGCAUGCUCUCUCUUGAAAAGAAAGGCAUGAGAGAACACACAAUGACAAAACAGUAUGAAAUAUGUCUAGGGAAGAAGUACAGCAAGCUAGGUGAGUAUAUAAUAAUAUUUAUUGCUAAUCAAGCACUAUUCUAAAGUUCUGCAGGUAUUUUAACUCUUUCAUCCUCAUGAUAGCUUUGCAGUAAUCUGAGGUGUUGAGAGGCCUAAAUCACAUAGUAAACGUUCUAGUGAGUUUAGGAGAAAAAGCAACCCGCCCUGGGGGAAUUAAGACGACUACUUGGAAGAAGGAGGCGGACUAUGAGAUGACAUCCGAGAGAUGAACAUGAGUCAAUUCGAUAACUGACUCAAGAAGCGCAUCCUGGGAGGAUGGGGAAAAUGUGUGCCAGUACCACGCUGGGAGCCAGAAGUAGGAGCUCUGCUCUGGUGCUCCUCCGGCCGGGCCCCUCCCCACGGGUUCGGAGUCUGUAGUGCCAAGUGUCAUGCCCUCCCACAGCCCAUUCCCACUCCUUGCAGUCCAGAUCAUGCUCUAGAAACUGAGCCCCUGGAGGUCCUUGCCCCAGGGGCUCCAGACCCCCUUGCAGAAUCUAUAUGGCUUCUUACAUCCUCCCAAGAAGGGGGGCAAGCUGCUUAUGUGCUUGCUGCUAAGGAAUGGCCAUUUGCAGAUGGUGUGGAUGCACCGGAUGUGCUGUCUGGGAUGUCCACACACCCACACGCAAAACAUGUGGUGCAGGACAGAUCAAGGCAUGUGCAGAGAAGGUGGGUGGGCUACGUGCUGGGAUCGCUCUCCUGUGCUGCCACAUUCUCAUGUGGAAUUCGGAAGGGUCCGAGAUUUCAAAACUGAAACCUAGCUUUCCAGGGAGUUAUGAAGGUAUUUUUGUCAAAGAUAGAGGAUAGAGGGCUACCUCAGUCAGGAGACCAUGGGAGUCUUCUUGUCAGGGUCGUGAGUUAGAGCCCCACAUUGGGUGUAGAGAUUAUAA